CCUGAACAACGAACAUCCGCGCGGGUGCUUAGCUGGAGCCCCCGGGGUGUGAGGAGCUGCAAAGCCCAGGUCCCCAGGGACAAGUCGGAGAAGGGGCCCUGCCCUUAACCUCGGGCCAACCAGCGAUGGACAGAGCCCUGUCAACCCUUGCAGGUGGAGGAAGUGAGCGAAUGUUUAGGGCCGUCGUGGAAGUUCUCUGGUUGUCAUACGGUGGCUUGAGCUGAGAGAGGGGAUUGAAUAUGAGCAGUCGGCCACUCAGGGAUCCGACGACUGGAGUCACGGAGAUAAUACGGGAGGAACCUGCCGCCCCUAGAGCAAGGGGAACAGGUUGGUGUCACCAGGAGCCUAGAAGCCAGGAUGAGGGGGCCUUGAAGAGCCAGAGCCUGGACCUCUGAGGAGGGGCUGCGGCAAUUACUCAGGGAAGGAGAAAACCACCUUAUCCACCGGGAGGGGAAACAGGGCAGGAGAGAGAGACACAGCGAGAGAGGGAACACAAGCAGGGGGAGCGGGAGAGGGAGGAGCAGG